GGAUAGAUAGCUGAGAUGGAUUAGCGAAGGAUUGAAACUCCUUAGAGGUUGGAUCGUUACCAACUCUGUCCACCAAAA
rnacentral:tRNA from 1 species